CGGGUAGUGGUGCGGGGAGUGGUGCGGGGAGUGGUGCUUGGGAGUGGUGCGGGUAGUGGUGCGGGUAGUGGUGCGGGGAGUGGUGCGGGGAGUGGUGCGGGGAGUGGUGCGGGGAGUGGUAGUGGUUGGAGUGGUGGUAGUAGUAGUGGGAGUAGUGGUAGUGGUUCGAGUAGUGCGGGUAGUAGUGCGGGUAGUAGUGCGGGUAGUGGUGCGGGUAGUGCUGCGGGGAGUGGUGCGGGGAGUGGUGCGGGGAGUGGUGCGGGGAGUGGUGCGGGUAGUAGUGCGGGUAGUAUGGGUUGUUGGAAAAUAGGCAGGAAGGGGCCCGCUGUCUAUACUGCCCCCAUUACCUCUAUUUAUACAAUUCGGUGGGGCAUAACCAGAAUCACAGUGGCAAUGAUUCAAGUUGUUACAUGUCCCUCUAGCAUUAAAUUGGUAUCUUCGUUGCACCUCUGCCUGAAUAACAGUGCAUAUAUACUAGAACAAGCACCAUAAAGGCAUAUCCUCCCCCGGUCACACAUUGUACCAGUGUACACUCCUCCUCGGUCAGUGGCCCCUAACUCCUCUAAGAGGUCCGCUCCCCAGCACCAUGAACCCUCACAGGGCAGUUGGAAAUAGGUAUGGUGGUUCUUGCCUUGGGGCAGAUUCUUAAUGUUCUGACAUAGAAGCCUUCCGCACUUGCUAUCUCUGGAGUUGCAUCUUCUAAAGCGCCUGCGCAUCCCAUUAAGUGAAGGGCCACAGUUCCCGAUCCGGUCCCCCUUACUGUUUAUACUCUCAUAGCAACUAUCUGGGGCUUUCCUGGAGCCUUCACCAAAGAUCUCAACACACUGUUUAUUCAGGCUGUGACAAAACCCCUCAUAGCAAUAGCCAUCCUUGCACUCGGUGCCAUCUUGUUUGUAGACAUUUGGCUGACACCAAAUGGAGGUGCCAUUGCAAUAUUCAGGGAGGUCACAUUCAUUCUUGCUGGGACGACACACCUCACUUGCCCUCUGAAUAUUACAAUUUUUACAGCAGGGCCCAAAAGCACAAGUGGAGCCCUCAGUCAGCCUGCAGGUGGGAAGGCAGCAAGGGUCAUUUGUACAGGUCUCUUCAUUUCCACAGUCACACUCUUCCUCUCUGUCUAAUAUUCCGUUCCCACAGACUGACACCCUGAAUAAUCUUGUGGGGUCUGGCGAUAGAUAGAUGCAUCCCGAAUGUGCACCAUACAGGAAUUUAUAGAAGUACUCUAAGCUGCAGUUGCUAAAAAGCUGUUUUUGAGAGACAGACUCAUGCAUUAUGCAGUAAUAUUCAUCACCACACAUGCAGUAUUGGGAAUCAUGUUCCAUGCCCAUACUAUGGCCCAACUCAUGGGUCAUGAGAGAGGCAAAGCGGGCCACAUCUUCAUGAGGGAAGGCUAGAGCUGCCGCAGCUUGGGAAGAUGAACAGAUACCACCGAGGUAGGAGUGUCCUGCUUUGCUUCCAGUUUCAUGCCCUACAAUCAGAUGGCCAAUAUUAUGAAAAACCCUUGGUAAGAGUCCAAAGUACCUCCAUGCACUGAAAUAUUUAAGAGUUUCUACCAAACUCUGUGAAAUUUUGCUCAUAUCUUUCUGUGUCCAGAUCUCUAAACCAACCCAGAAGAUUUUGACUCUGAUUGGAUUGACGUAGGUAUCCACGAUGGAGAGCACUUCCAUCACCAUAUGGGCGGUCUUGGUCACAUUGCUAUCCCAAUUUCGGAACCUCCUGUUGUCAACCACAAUAAAUAUUUUCACUAUCUUGUUGUAUGGCCA
rnacentral:lncRNA from 1 species